CGGGCGCGGAAUUCUGUGACAUCACUCUGUUGCUUGACGGGCACCCACGGCCAGCCCACAAGGCUAUCCUGGCCGCCCGCUCCAGCUACUUUGAAGCCAUGUUCCGGUCCUUCAUGCCCGAGGACGGGCAGGUGAACAUCUCCAUCGGGGAGAUGGUGCCCAGCAGGCAGGCCUUCGAGUCCAUGCUGCGCUACAUCUACUACGGCGAGGUCAACAUGCCGCCCGAGGACUCGCUCUACUUGUUUGCGGCCCCCUACUACUACGGCUUCUACAACAACCGGCUGCAGGCGUACUGCAAGCAGAACCUGGAGAUGAACGUGACGGUGCAGAACGUGCUGCAGGUAGCCCCCCAGCCCCGUGCACACGGCUGCAGCUCCCACUGAGUGGGUGAAAGGGGCAGCGCCUCAAGGUCCCUGCCAUUGCAGAUCCUGGAGGCAGCUGACAAAACGCAGGCGCUGGACAUGAAGCGGCACUGCCUGCACAUCAUCGUGCACCAGUUCACCAAGGUCUCCAAGUUGCCCACGCUGCGGUCGCUGAGCCAGCAGCUGCUGCUGGACAUCAUAGACUCCCUGGCCUCCCACAUCUCAGACAAGCAGUGCGCAGAGCUGGGCGCCGACAUCUGAGGCCCUGUGGCGCCCGCCCAUUGUGAAGAAUCGCCAUGCCUGCCUGCCCUGCCUACUGAGAAGACUACCGGCUAUGCGCAUGCCUAUGGCAGUGGGUGCACCUGCCAGGCCAAGGGUUAGGGUGCCCAGAGCCUCCAAAGAGAGCUGAGGGGAUGUGGGGCCCCAAACUCCUUAAUUCACUGAAGACACAGGUCCCACAGGGAGCGGAUGAUGAAGCAGACCCCCUCCCCUGUCAUCACCCUCUCCUGGUGUAGUGUGGAUGCGAGGCCACGGCUCAGUGAUGGGCUCACCACCCAGAAGUGGGGAGAGACCUUGGGCCUCCCACCCAGUGGGGCUUGGCCUGGCUCCUGUGGCCUGGGCGUGUUGUGGACUCAGGCACUGGGGCCUGUCACCAAGGCUCCUCCAACAUGCGGGAGGCGGCUU
rnacentral:sRNA from 1 species